GACGAACGCUGGCGGCGUGCUUAACACAUGCAAGUCGAACGGAAAGGCCCUGCUUUUGUGGGGUGCUCGAGUGGCGAACGGGUGAGUAACACGUGAGUAACCUGCCCUUGACUUUGGGAUAACUUCAGGAAACUGGGGCUAAUACCGGAUAGGAGCUCCUGCUGCAUGGUGGGGGUUGGAAAGUUUCGACGGUUGGGGAUGGACUCGCGGCUUAUCAGCUUGUUGGUGGGGUAGUGGCUUACCAAGGCUUUGACGGGUAGCCGGCCUGAGAGGGUGACCGGCCACAUUGGGACUGAGAUACGGCCCAGACUCCUACGGGAGGCAGCAGUGGGGAAUAUUGCACAAUGGGCGGAAGCCUGAUGCAGCAACGCCGCGUGCGGGAUGACGGCCUUCGGGUUGUAAACCGCUUUCGCCUGUGACGAAGCGUGAGUGACGGUAAUGGGUAAAGAAGCACCGGCUAACUACGUG
rnacentral:rRNA from 1 species